rnacentral:rRNA from 1 species
AGAGUUUGAUCCUGGCUCAGGAUGAACGCUGGCUACAGGCUUAACACAUGCAAGUCGAGGGGAAACGACGGGGAAGCUUGCUUCCCCGGGCGUCGACCGGCGCACGGGUGAGUAACGCGUAUCCAACCUGCCUCUGACUGAGGGAUAACCCGUCGAAAGUCGGCCUAAUACCUCAUGGCAUCGUCUGCGGGCAUCCAACGACGAUUAAAGAUUUCAUCGGUCAGGGAUGGGGAUGCGUCUGAUUAGCUUGUUGGCGGGGUAACGGCCCACCAAGGCGACGAUCAGUAGGGGUUCUGAGAGGAAGGUCCCCCACAUUGGAACUGAGACACGGUCCAAACUCCUACGGGAGGCAGCAGUGAGGAAUAUUGGUCAAUGGACGCAAGUCUGAACCAGCCAAGUAGCGUGCAGGAUGACGGCCCUAUGGGUUGUAAACUGCUUUUAUGCGGGGAUAAAGUGAGGGACGUGUCCUUCAUUGCAGGUACCGCAUGAAUAAGGACCGGCUAAUUCCGUGCCAGCAGCCGCGGUAAUACGGAAGGUCCGGGCGUUAUCCGGAUUUAUUGGGUUUAAAGGGAGUGUAGGCGGUCUGUUAAGCGUGUUGUGAAAUUUAGGUGCUCAACAUUUAACUUGCAGCGCGAACUGUCAGACUUGAGUACACGCAGCGCAGGCGGAAUUCAUGGUGUAGCGGUGAAAUGCUUAGAUAUCAUGAGGAACUCCGAUCGCGAAGGCAGCCUGCGGGAGUGUUACUGACGCUUAAGCUCGAAGGUGCGGGUAUCGAACAGGAUUAGAUACCCUGGUAGUCCGCACAGUAAACGAUGGAUGCCCGCCGUUGGCGCCCUGCGCCUGCGGCCAAGCGAAAGCAUUAAGCAUCCCACCUGGGGAGUACGCCGGCAACGGUGAAACUCAAAGGAAUUGACGGGGGCCCG